AGCGAACGCUGGCGGCAGGCUUAACACAUGCAAGUCGAGCGGGCCCUUCGGGGUCAGCGGCGGACGGGUGAGUAACGCGUGGGAACGUGCCUUCUGGUCUGGAAUAACCCUGGGAAACUAGGGCUAAUACCGGAUACGCCCUUUUGGGGAAAGGUUUACUGCCGGAAGAUCGGCCCGCGUCUGAUUAGCUAGUUGGUGGGGUAACGGCCUACCAAGGCGACGAUCAGUAGCUGGUCUGAGAGGAUGAUAGCCACACUGGGACUGAGACACGGCCCAGACUCCUACGGGAGGUAGCAGUGGGGAAUAUUGGACAAUGGGCGCAAGCCUGAUCCAGCCAUGCCGCGUGAGUGAUGAAGGCCUUAGGGUUGUAAAGCUCUUUUAUCCGGGACGAUAAUGACGGUACCGGAGGAAUAAGCCCCGGCUAACUUCGUG
rnacentral:rRNA from 1 species